GAUGAACGCUAGCGAUAGGCUUAACACAUGCAAGUCGAGGGGCAGCACAAGGUAGCUUGCUAUCUGGGUGGCGACCGGCGCACGGGUGCGUAACGCGUAUGCAACCUGCCCUAUACAGGAGGAUAACCCGUCGAAAGACGGACUAAUACUGCGUAUGCUCACAACUUGGCAUCAAGUGGUGAGGAAAGAAAUUCGGUAUAGGAUAGGCAUGCGUCCCAUUAGCUUGUUGGUGAGGUAACGGCUCACCAAGGCAACGAUGGGUAGGGGAACUGAGAGGUUUAACCCCCACACUGGUACUGAGACACGGACCAGACUCCUACGGGAGGCAGCAGUGAGGAAUAUUGGUCAAUGGGCGCGAGCCUGAACCAGCCAAGUCGCGUGAAGGAUGACUGUCUUAUGGAUUGUAAACUUCUUUUAUACGGGAAUAACAAGAGUCACGUGUGACUCCCUGCAUGUACCGUAUGAAUAAGCAUCGGCUAACUCCGUG
rnacentral:rRNA from 1 species